rnacentral:pre_miRNA from 1 species
AUAUGAAUCACCUGGGUAUCUGGUUCAUUUGCAGGUUCUGACUCAAUGGGCCUGAACAGGGCUGAGAUUCUGCCCUUCUACAAGCUCCCAAGUGAUGCCGAU